rnacentral:ncRNA from 1 species
GGAAAGGUGAAAAGAACCCCCAGUGGGUAGUGAAAUAGAACGUGAAACCGUGCUGAGCUCCCAAGCAGUGGGAGGGGAAAGUGAUCUCUGACCGCGUGCCUGUUGAAGAAUGAGCCGGCGACUCAUAGGCAGUGGCUUGGUUAAGGGAACGGAUCCCACCGGAGCCGUAGCGAAAGCGAGUCUUAAUAGGGCGAUUGUCACUGCUUAUGGACCCGAACCUGGGUGAUCUAUCCAUGACCAGGAUGAAGCUUGGAUGAAACUAAGCAGAGGUCCGAACCGACUGAUGUUGAAGAAUCAGCGGAUGAGUUG